AGGGGGCCGGGAUUCGCAGAGCCUGGCAGCUGCCGCCCCUGGGGGCUCCGGCUGGCGCAUACCCGCCGCAGCUGCAGGUGCCAGGUGCAGCAAUGGUGCACGGCGGGGAGCAGGUGCCGCAGGGCCAUCUCCAUUUGCCGCAUGUGUGGAUAGACCGUCAGGUGCAGCAACGGAAGGGACAGGAUGAUGCGGAGGAUCAUCAAUCUGAAAGCGGCUGACAACAUUGUGAGCCACCACCCCAAAAAAAAAAAAACGGUUAAAAUUCACCAUGCCGUGUCGAUUUUCCGUUACUACUCCGGGCUGAAAGCUGGCCUCUGGAUUCUGGUUACGUCUUUUCGAUAUGCAGUCG
rnacentral:lncRNA from 1 species